AACGAACGCUGGCGGCAGGCUUAACACAUGCAAGUCGAACGAGAUCUUCGGAUCUAGUGGCAGACGGGUGAGGAACACGUGGGAACAUCCCUUUCAGUUCGGAAUAACGUUGGGAAACUAACGCUAAUACCGGAUACGUCCUUCGGGAGAAAGAUUUAUCGCUGAAAGAUUGGCCCGCGUCUGAUUAGCUAGUUGGUGAGGUAACGGCUCACCAAGGCUACGAUCUUUAGCUGGUCUGAGAGGAUGAUCAGCCAGACUGGGACUGAGACACGGCCCAGACUCCUACGGGAGGCAGCAGUAGGGAAUUUUCCACAAUGGGCGAAAGCCUGAUGGAGCAACGCCGCGUGCAGGAUGACGGCCUUCGGGUUGUAAACUGCUUUUAUGAGUGAAGAUUAUGACAGUAACUCAAGAAUAAGGGACGGCUAACUACGUGCCAGCAGCCGCCGUAA
rnacentral:rRNA from 1 species